rnacentral:rRNA from 1 species
UACGGAGGGUGCGAGCGUUGUCCGGAAUCACUGGGCGUAAAGGGCGCGUAGGCGGCCUGAUAAGUAGGGGGUGAAAUCCUGCGGCUUAACCGCAGGGCUGCCUUCUAAACUGUCAGGCUUGAGCACAGUAGAGGCAGGUGGAAUUCCCGGUGUAGCGGUGGAAUGCGUAGAGAUCCGGAGGAAGACCGGUGGCGAAGGCGGCCUGCUGGGCAGAUACUGACACUGAGGCGCGACAGCGUGGGGAGCAAACAGG